GAUGAAGAACGUAGUGAAUUGCGAUAAGUAAUGUGAAUUGCAGAUUUUCAGUGAAUCAUCGAAUCUUUGAACGCACCUUGCGCCCCUUGGUAUCCCGAGGGGCAUGCCUGUUCGAGCGUCAUUUCACCACUCAAGCCUGGCUUGGUGUUGGGCGACGUCCCCUUUGGGGACGCGCCUCGAAACGCUCGGCGGCGUGGCACCGGCUUUAAGCGUAGCAGAAUCUUUCGCUUUGGAAGUCGGGGCCCCGUCUGCCGGAAGACCUACUCGCAAGGUUGACCUCGGAUCAGGCAGGGAUACCCGCUGAACUUAAGCAUAUCAAUAAGCGGAGGA
rnacentral:misc_RNA from 1 species